ACUCAUUAAAUAUAAGGGCGCAUGUGACACUAAAAGACGAUGAAGGAGGUGGCGUGACUGCCUUAAGCUUCGGGGAGCCGUCUAGCAGGCUUUGAUCCGGAGAUAUCCGAAUGGGGAAACCCAUCCGCCGAAGAGGCGGAUAUUCCGCGCAAGCGGGAAGUAUACCUGGCGAAGUGAAACAUCUCAGUACCCAGAGGAAAAGAAAUAGAAUAGAUACCCUGAGUAGCGGCGAGCGAAACGGGCAUAGCCUAAACCAUUUUUCAAGCAAGCAAUUGUUAGGAAGGUGGGGUAAUAGGGACGAAACACUUGAAUUUUUAACAUCGCGCAUUUUGCCUGCGGUGUUAAAAGUUUAAAAGAAGUUACAAAUCUGAAUGUUAGCAGAAUGGCCCUGGAACGGCCAACCAAAGUAGGUGAUAGUCCUGUAAGCGAAAACGUUCAGACUUCUGUUUUGUUACCUGAGUAGCCCAGGAUAAGAAUGUCCGGGGUGAAUUUGUCCAUACUACUGGAUAAGGCUAAAUACUUUUAGUGAUCGAUAGU
rfam:Parcubacteria (Yanofskybacteria) bacterium GW2011_GWA1_39_13 TT29_C0003, whole genome shotgun sequence.